GCUAUUUGGUUUGACUCCUUCCCAUAUUUGGACAGAGAUCCUAACCAUUCAUAUUAAAAAUACUUGCCUGUUGGCUAGGGCAGGAGGUGGACCUGAGCAGUCCAGAGAAAACAAGACAGAGCUGGAAGAAAAGUCACCCAGGUUCUAAAGGGAGGAAUUCAAGCAAAACCAGGUGAAAAUGCAGGUGAAAGGAGGACAAGAAAGACAUUCACAGGCAAAAUGCAUGUAUUGCACACGAAGAGAAGAGCAGACGAACCAGGAAGCUUGGUUAAAAUGACCAAAUAUAAAGCAGAAAUAAUGUGGAUUGGAGGAAACAAUAUCCUAGUUAAAAUGUUGCACCAGAAGAAGCUCCCUAAUUAAAAUGAAAUGAUUAAAAUUAAACUGUCACAUGAAACAUAAAUGAAAUCUUUCAGAAGGCUGAGAAA